rnacentral:rRNA from 1 species
AGCGGCGGACGGGGGAGUAACGCGUGGGUAACCGUGCCUCAUACAGGGGGAUAACAGUUGGAAACGGCUGCUAAUACCGCAUAAGCGCACAGUACCGCAUGGUACGGUGUGAAAAACUCCGGUGGUAUGAGAUGGACCCGCGUCUGAUUAGCUAGUUGGUGGGGUAACGGCCUACCAAGGCGACGAUCAGUAGCCGACCUGAGAGGGUGACCGGCCACAUUGGGACUGAGACACGGCCCAA